GCACUAGGAACGGGAGAUUUUGGGGAAGUUGGUCUGAUAAGAUUUCCAGCUCUCUUGACAUGUCCUGCAGCUUUACCUUCAGGUAACGUGUGCAGCCUGGGUAACCCAGGGGGAAUCCCGUCCACAUGAAGCGGACCAUUCCGCUUCUCCACUCCAUCGACUCCUCCACCGCCACCAGAAAUGACCGUGACGUCCGGCAGCGAUGC
rnacentral:misc_RNA from 1 species